UCUUCUCCCCCAAAUCGCCCCCAAAUCAACUCGACCUGCCCUCCACCCCACCGCCGCCGCCCCCAAUCUCAUGUGCCCUCGCCACCGCAACCAACCACCGCACCCCCGCCUACGCCCCCAGCCACCCCGAGUCCCCGACCACUUCCUUCGUCGCCCCCAACACCCCAUCACAGCGUCGCCGAGCAUACAUCUGACACGGAUCUAAGCCGCCGCCGACCGGCCCCGUCGCCGAGCCACUCCACCGCCGACCACUGCCCUCCGCCGUCCACUGUCCUUUGCCACCACCAUACUCUGCGAGCUUCCUCCCCCGAGCAGGACUUGUCACCAGAGCACCGACCAAGCCUGCCUCCUCUACGUCCUCUGCCCCAAGCAACGGAGCGUCCGUCCCCUCCCGCGAGCAGCUCUGCCUCCUCCACUUCCUUGUCCCAAACCAGAGCAUUUGAUAGUGGCGGAGCUACAAAGAAAAUCCUGGGCGGGCCAAUCUAAAAAAAACACGAAAAAAAAUCAACCCAAGGAAAGGAUGAUGAGUUGCUGCUGAAAAGUCUUCCUCAACUUAAUCUGUAACUCGUUGCAUUGCUGGAGGAAAGAGUGAGUAAAGAUCAUGCAGGAAUGAGUUUUAAUCCUGCUUGAAUCAUAGGCAGAAAUUUCGGUUGUUUUGUCUGUAAAACUGCAAAAUAUGUUCCAGAGGUAAAAACCAAAAUGCACUUAAAGCUGGCCAGAUUUGGAGAUCUUUUUACAAGUUCAUGGAUUACAGAUUUAGGAAUUAGGAAUUUAUGUAUACGACCAAAUUUUAUCAUCCCAGUAUCUUGUGUAUCUAGUAUGGUAUACUGUGGCAUGGCCUGCACUAACGUUCACAAGACUGCUGUCUGGCUUAAAAAAUGCAGCAAAGGUGAUGCUUGGUUCGAUCUGAUCUGUUAGCAAGUGUUUGUGAUGCACUCUAUAGGUUGCAAGUUGUUGGGUGGCCGCCUAUUGGGAGCUACCGGAAGAACAGACUAGCCGCCAAUGCCAUAAAGACCAAGGUUGAGAACAAAGGUAGAAGCGAGGCAGGAUGCUGCUAUGUCAAGGUCAGCAUGAAUGGAGACCCAUACCUAAGGAAGGUCGAACUCAAGACUUAACUCGAGCUAUACGAAAACAUUUCCCUAGCGAUCCAGAAGAUGUUCAGCUGCUUCAUCACUGGAUCGCAUACACUAUGAUCAGAUCUUUUUGGCAGAUUUGAGUACCUUGAGCUCUCAUUUGGAGAAAGCAUCAUUUUUUAGUUUCAGAUUCAUAUCGGCAUGGAAAGUUAAUAGUACCACACGAAGCAAUCAUGCAAAACAUGUUCCUGCAAAACAUCAACAAGGAUAGGCUCACAAAUGGUUCUAGGACAGAUGCUCUUAGGGACCAAGAGUAUGUCCUGACCGAUGAGAAUAAGGAUGCUGAUUAGAUGCUCUUUGGCAAUCUUCCUUGGAAGUUUCUCAAAGAUAUAGAAGUUGCUGGAGGUUUGGAAGAUCUACAAGUUGGUGGAGUGAUAAUAUAUAUGUAAUAUGCCUUGUUUGUUGAACCUAGAGACAUUGCAAAGUUUUACUGUGCUCAUUUUGGUUGUUGUUUUGGCACCCAAGGCACUGUAUCCUCAUUUUGCUUGUGUGUCAUGAUCUUUCUUUAUCUCGAAACUUAUGUACAUAUGUAUCUGGUCUGUUUAUGAUAUUGAAUGAGGCCUUACACA